AUGGUCUCCGGCGGUGGCCAGGCCCAGGCGCCGUCGUCUGCUCCGGCGGCAGAGUACGGCAGCACGCUGCCGCAGAUGGUGGACGAUGAGAGGAGCUACAAGUCGCAUGGGGAGCUCAUGCUGCUGCUAUUCGUCGUCGUCUUUGCGCUCCUCUUCGCUUCUGUCUUCUUCUUCCUCUGGUUGAGACGAAGGAGGGACCGCCGGCGCUGA
rnacentral:rRNA from 1 species